GACGAACGCUGGUGGCGUGCUUAACACAUGCAAGUCGAACGGGAUUUCGUAAACAGAAGCCUCGGUGGAAGAUUACUAAUGAGAGUGGCGAACGGGUGAGUAACGCGUGAGCAACCUGCCUAUGUCAGUGGGAUAGCCUCGGGAAACCGGGAUUAAUACCGCAUCAAAUCGUAGAAACACAUGUUUUAACGGUCAAGGAUUUAUCGGUCAUAGAUGGGCUCGCGUCUGAUUAGCUAGUUGGUGAGAUAACAGCCCACCAAGGCGACGAUCAGUAGCCGGGCGGAGAGGAGGAAAGGCCAGAUUGGAGCUGAGACACAGACCAAAACCCGACGGAAGGGAGCAGUAGGGAAUAUUACACAAUGAGGGAAACCCUGAUGCAGCGACGCCGCGUGAACGAAGAAGGUAUUCGUAUCGUAAAGUUCUGUCCGAUGAGAAGAGAAUGACAGUACCAGAGAAGAAAGCACCGGCUAAAUACGUG
rnacentral:rRNA from 1 species